CCUUCGGGCGCUGACGAGUGGCGGACGGGUGAGUAACGCGUAGGAAUCUGCCUCAUAGUGGGGGACAACGUGGGGAAACCCACGCUAAUACCGCAUACGCCCUACGGGGGAAAGCGGGGGCUCUUCGGACCUCGCGCUAUGAGAUGAGCCUGCGUUAGAUUAGCUAGUUGGUAGGGUAAAGGCCUACCAAGGCGACGGUCUAUAGCUGGUCUGAGAGGACGAUCAGCCACACUGGGACUGAGACACGGCCCAGACUCCUACGGGAGGCAGCAGUGGGGAAUAUUGGACAAUGGGCGCAAGCCUGAUCCAGCAAUACCGCGUGUGUGAAGAAGGCCUUAGGGUUGUAAAGCACUUUCAAUUGGGAGGAAAACCUGCCGGUCAAUACCCGGUAGCUUGACAUUACCUUUAGAAGAAGCACCGGCUAACUCCGUGCCAGCAGCCGCGGUAAUACGGAGGGUGCGAGCGUUAAUCGGAAUUACUGGGCGUAAAGCGUGCGUAGGCGGUUCGUUAAGUCAGAUGUGAAAGCCCUGGGCUCAACCUGGGAACGGCAUUUGAAACUGGCGGACUAGAGUUUAGUAGAGGGGAGUGGAAUUUCAGGUGUAGCGGUGAAAUGCGUAGAUAUCUGAAGGAACACCAGUGGCGAAGGCGACUCCCUGGACUAGAACUGACGCUGAGGUACGAAAGCGUGGGUAGCAAACAGGAUUAGAUACCCUGGUAGUCCACGCCGUNNNCGAUGUCGACUAGCCGUUGGUCCUAUUUACAGGAUUAGUGGCGCAGCUAACGCAUUAAGUCGACCGCNNNNGAGUACGGCCGCAAGGUUAAAACUNNNNNUGACGGGGGCCCGCACAAGCGGUGGAG
rnacentral:rRNA from 1 species